rnacentral:rRNA from 1 species
UAGAGUUUGAUCCUGGCUCAGGAUGAGCGCUGGCGGCGUGCCUAAUACAUGCAAGUCGAGCGGUAAGGCCUCUUCGGAGGUACACGAGCGGCGGACGGCUGAGUAACACGUAGGAACGUACCCCAAAGUGAGGGAUAACUGCUCGAAAGAGUAGCUAAUACCGCAUGUGAUCCACGGAUUAAAGCUUUAUGCGCUUUGGGAACGGCCUGCGUUCGAUUAGCUUGUUGGUAGUGUAAUGGACUACCAAGGCGACGAUCGAUAGCUGGUCUGAGAGGAUGAUCAGCCAGACUGGGACUGAGACACGGCCCAGACUCCUACGGGAGGCAGCAGUAGGGAAUUUUCCACAAUGGGCGAAAGCCUGAUGGAGCAACGCCGCGUGCAGGAUGAAUGCCUUAGGGUUGUAAACUGCUUUUAUUAGUGACGAUUAUGACGGUAACUAAUGAAUAAGGACCUGCUAACUACGUGCCAGCAGCCGCGGUCAUACGUAGGGUCCAAGCGUUAUCCGGAAUUACUGGGCGUAAAGAGUUGCGUAGGUGGCAUAGUAAGUAGAUAGUGAAAGCGUGUGGCUCAACCAUACAUCCAUUAUCUAAACUGCUAAGCUUGAAGAUGAGAGAGGUAGAUGGAAUUCCUGAUGUAGGGGUAAUAUCCGUAGAUAUUAGGAGGAACACCGAUGGCGUAGGCAGUCUACUGGCUCAUUCUUGACACUAAGGCACGAAAGCGUGGGGAGCAAACAGGAUUAGAUACCCUGGUAGUCCACGCCGUAACUAUGGAUGCUAGCUGUAAGCCGUAUCGACCCGGCUUGUAGCGAAGCUAACGCGUUAAGCAUCCCGCCUGUGGAGUACGGUCGCAAGACUAAAACAUAAAGGGAAU